AUUGAACGCUGGCGGCAUGCUUUACACAUGCAAGUCGAACGGUAACAGGGAGCUUGCUCCGCUGACGAGUGGCGAACGGGUGAGUAAUAUAGCGGAACGUACCCAAGAGUGGGGGAUAACGUAGCGAAAGCUACGCUACUACCGCAUACGAUCCACGGAUGAAAGACGGGGACCUUCGGGCCUUGUGCUCCUGGAGCGGCCGAUAUCUGAUUAGCUAGUUGGUGAGGUAAAGGCUCACCAAGGCGACGAUCAGUAGCUGGUCUGAGAGGACGACCAGCCACACUGGAACUGAGACACGGUCCAGACUCCUACGGGAGGCAGCAGUGGGGAAGUUUGGACAAUGGGCGCAAGCCUGAUCCAGCAAUGCCGCGUGAGUGAAGAAGGCCUUCGGGUUGUAAAGCUCUUUUGUCAGGGAAGAAACGGUAGAGGCUAAUAUCCUUUGCUAACGACGGUACCUGAAGAAUAAGCACCGGCUAACUACGUGCCAGCAGCCGCAGUAAAAC
rnacentral:rRNA from 1 species